ensembl:snRNA U6 U6 spliceosomal RNA
GUGCUCGCCUCAGCAGCACGUAGACUAAAAUUGGAACGAUACAGAGAAGAUUAGUAUGGCCCCUGCACAAGGAUGACACGCAAAUCCAUGAAGCAUUCCAUAAAAAA